AACCACAUCCCUCAUUUUUAAUUUAUACUUAAAUAACCUGAUACUGCUUUUAGAUGAACUGGAUACAAGCCUAAGAAGAUGCCUGUCUGAAAAAGAGCCAAGUGAGGUCAGAACAGAGCCAGAUGAAGAUGCCAAGGCACACGGAAGUUAAGUAUCCAAGUAUUUUUAAGAUCCAAUUCCUGCCACCCUUGAAAACACCAGCUUCAUGUGCUAUUGUUCCCCUGCCACAUGUAUCUUCAUUGUGGUGGAUACACCUUAAGAUAACUUUUAUUCACACAGAGAGACCUUCCUUCAGGACUUGAAGAAGCAAGUCAAGUUGUUACGAUGUGAAUGGAGAAGUCCACAUGGUAAAGAACCAGAGGCAGCUCCUAGGGUUUUGAGGGCCUUCAUCCUAUGACCAUAAGGAGUUAAAUUUUCCUAACAUCCACUUGAACUUAGAAGAGGAUCCCUAGCUUCAGAAAGGCACACAGUUCAGCUGACACAUUACAGCCUUGUGAAAUCCUAGGAGAACCCAGAUAAGCCAUGCCCUGAACU